CCCUUAGAUGUUCUGGGCCGCACGCGCGCUACACUGACGAAGUCAGCGAGCAUGUCCUACGCCGACAGGUGCGGGGAAUCUUGACAAACUUCGUCGUGAUGGGGAUUGAUUAUUGAAAUUCUUGAUCAUCAACGAGGAAUUCCUAGUAAGCGCAAGUCAGCAGCUUGCGUUGAUUACGUCCCUGCCCUUUGUACACACCGCCCGUCGCUACUACCGAUUGAAUGGUUUAGUGAGAUCUUCGGAUUGGCGCCACUGCGGCUCAGCAAUGGGCUCGGUGGAUGCCGAAAAGUUGAUCAAACUUGAUCAUUUAGAGGAAGUAAAAGUCGUAACA
rnacentral:rRNA from 1 species